GCUUACACAUGCAAGUCGAGUGCGCGCCUGUAGCAAUACAGGUGGCGCACGGCGCACGGGUGCGUAACACGUGGGCAAUCUGCCCUUCGAUGGGGAAUAACCCCGGGAAACCGGGGCUAAUUCCGCAUAACAUUCCGGGGACCUCGGUCCCUGGAUUCAAAGGCGCAAGCCGUCGAAGGAGGAGCCCGCGCACGAUUAGCUAGUUGGUAGGGUAGCGGCCUACCAAGGCUUUGAUCGUUAGCUGGUCUGAGAGGAUGGCCAGCCACACUGGAACUGAGACACGGUCCAGACUCCUACGGGAGGCAGCAGUGGGGAAUCUUGCACAAUGGGCGA
rnacentral:rRNA from 1 species